rnacentral:rRNA from 1 species
UACGUAGGGCGCAAGCGUUGUCCGGAAUUAUUGGGCGUAAAGAGCUCGUAGGCGGCUUUUCACGUCUGCUGUGAAAUCCCGGGGCUCAACCCCGGGCGUGCAGUGGAUACGGGCUGGCUAGAGGCAGGCAGGGGAGAACGGAAUUCCCGGUGUAGCGGUGAAAUGCGCAGAUAUCGGGAGGAACACCGGUGGCGAAGGCGGUUCUCUGGGCCUUACCGGACGCUGAGGAGCGAAAGCGUGGGGAGCGAACAGG